rnacentral:rRNA from 1 species
AACGUAGGUUCCGAGCGUUAUCCGGAUUUACUGGGCGUAAAGCGCGUUCAGGCGGUUUGGCAAGUCGGGCAUGAAAUCUCUCGGCUCAACCGGGAGAGGUUGUCCGAUACUGCUGGACUUGAGGGCAGUAGAGGGUGGUGGAAUUCCGGGUGUAGUGGUGAAAUGCGUAGAUAUCCGGAGGAACACCAGUGGCGAAGGCGGCUUCCUGGACCGGUUCUGACACUGAGGAGCGAAAGCGUGGGGAGCGAACAGG